UUUGGAAACAGUGGAUUG
rnacentral:snRNA from 1 species